AGGGAAACCAGAGGGUCUAGGAGCCAUUUUGUUUUCACGCUGUUUCCAGGGGAGCGCCCAGGGCGGAAGGUCUCUUCUCCGAGAAACUUGGUACCGACUGUUUGUCCCGAGCACCAGUAAAAGGCUUGCCUCCUUGUUGCGUCAAAAGCUCUGAAACCCUGUGUGACCCUGCUCCAGCUAAUCUCUUCAGCCACUCAAGCCACUCUCCCUUCCCUUCUGCAGCCAGACUGCCUACCUUCAGUUCAUGGCCAAGGAUGAACAGGAAUCUAAAUUUAUGCUGUAAAAAGACCACGCAGAACGCUGCCUUGAAUGGGAAUGACGGUAGAGAUGCUGGAUCGUGGUGGAUUCUGCAUUUAUUUUCAAGUAUUUGAAGGAAUAUAGCACAGUGGUUACAUACUAUGUCCUGGAACUGAGCCAUCUCUUAGCAACAUGACUUUGAGAAAUGGACAAACUAGACACGGUCUGUCUCAGCUGACCUGGCCACCAGAACCCUCCCUCUUCUCCCUGCAGCUGGAUGGACCUGACGCAGCAGUCAUCCAUGACCAUGCAGCUCUUUGGAGAGGACAUAGAAUUCAAGGAGAGGGCACUGGAAGUAAGAGGGCUGACUUUGGCUUCCUGCUCUAAAUGAUUUUCUGUGAUCCAGCUUUUACUUGUAAUCCACUUUUAGGUCCUUGUCCAGUUA